rnacentral:lncRNA from 1 species
CAAGAUAAAAAAGAAGAUAAUAUGUUAUUAUGAAGAAAACGCAUCUCACUAACGCUCUUGGAAUGUUAGAUCGAACACAACGUUACGCAACACAUCCGAAUUCUUUUCGAACAAGGCCACAGAUCUAGAAUAUAAAGGAGGCCUUUGGCUUGUGCGUGAAUAUCUUUCGAACAAAAUUACCAAGAAUGUGAAUGGCGGGAAAAACAACCGAAAAAGGAAGAAGGAGAAUCGACCUAAUCGCGAAUCGAAUGAAUUCCAUUGAUCUUUAUGUAAAAAAUAAUACCAGCUAACGUAGGUGUUCUGUUUGCUCGGGAAACGAUGAAUGAGAAAAAAGUAAAUGAGAGAGAGAACACGAUGAAGAAGAAGAAGAAAAGGAUAAAAGUAGACGGAUAAAAAGACAGGGAAGAGAUGCAUUCUGCAAGUAUAUUACAAGGUGUGUCUUGGCUGGUUGGUUGGUAGUAUGUUGGCUACUCAACUUAAAGUAAAGGCGAUUACGUCAAAUCAAGACUCCAUACGAGAGGAUUUUUAACCUAACGUCCUUCUCUUCUCCUUUCUUCCUCCUCUUUACAAAGUAUAUACAUUGUAUUACUACUGCUGAGAAUGCCAUUGAAACGCAGGAUGUAAAAAGAAACGAUGUUGAAACCUGGCUAAAGGUCUUAUGCUGCUAUGUAUUGAGAUACUUUAACCUUUCCGUACGCUUAAUGGGAAAUUAUACAUAACUAUCGUUCGUCUGACAAGGUAAGGAAUUAUAAAAAAUAAGAAAGACGAUGAAGAUUCGAUAACAAAUCAUCAUUUCCAUCCGUUGUAACGUAGGUAUAUGCUACGUAGUAAGUCAAGAAGAAGAGAGAGAGUCGAGUUAAUUACAACCUAACAUACACAAGUUUACAUUGUAUCCAUAUACUCCUUUUUUCUCUUCGUAGAAGAAGUUUUACUGUCAGUGUGAGAGAAGAACGAAGAAAAGAAGAUGUGGGGGAAGGAAAGAAUGAUUUCAGGAUCAGUGGGGGGUUGUUCAGCAAAGAGGAGGGCAUCGCAAGAUUCGACGAUUUUAAUCUCUCCUCUUCUGAUAUCCUCCUCCUUGGUACCUCCUGGAGACUUCUGCAAACCUGUCCUCUUUUAACAGCCAAGCUUGUCCUCUUUCUAUCUCUCUUUUUCUUUCUCUCGUAAUAUCUUCUCUCUUCUCUGUUCCUUCUUCUUCUUCUUCUUCU